UGCAUCUGCAGCCCAUGAGGAUGAGAACCUCCGGGGGCAGGGAGGUUCGACUCGAGCGAAGCGAGAGAACGUUGCGCCAGCAACGGCCCGCAGGGCGAGCCACGAAGUGGCGAGUA
rnacentral:sRNA from 1 species